UACAGAUUGAACUCCUGUUCUAC
rnacentral:piRNA from 1 species